rnacentral:hammerhead_ribozyme from 1 species
GCACUGUUGAGGAGUCCCACAAUAGAACGAAACGGAUGUCUAGUGC